rnacentral:rRNA from 1 species
UACGUAGGGACCAAGCGUUGUUCGGAUUUACUGGGCGUAAAGGGCGCGUAGGCGGCAACUCAAGUCAUCUGUGAAAUCUCCGGGCUUAACCCGGAACGGUCAGGUGAUACUGUUUUGCUAGGGUGCGGAAGGGGCAAUCGGAAUUCUCGGUGUAGCGGUGAAAUGCGUAGAUAUCGAGAGGAACACCAGAGGUGAAGACGGGUUGCUGGGCCGACACUGACGCUGACAGCGCGAAAGCCAGGGGAGCAAACGGG